UUAAAUUAAAGAUAGAAACCAAUCUGGCUUACACCGAUUUUAACUCAGAUCAUGUAAGAAUUUAAA
rnacentral:tRNA from 1 species